AGGAGUCUGCCAGAUGUGGGCACCUACUUUGUUACACCUCUAAAUAAACUGGCGAUGUUUGAGACGUAUGCAGUGGUCACCAGCAUAUCACCAUCAGCCGGAAGCUCAGAAGGAGGCGCUAUACUAACUAUAAGCGGCCAGUACUUUGAUCAGACGGACGCCCCCGCCAGAGUGUUAGUCGGAGGUCAGAAUUGUCCCAUCCUCAACGUAUCUGACAGUCAGAUCACCUGCCAAAGCCCCGCUCAGCCG